rnacentral:rRNA from 1 species
GUGAGGAAUAUUGGUCAAUGGGCGGCAGCCUGAACCAGCCAUCCCGCGUGAAGGAAGAAAGCGCUAUGCGUUGUAAACUUCUUUUCCGGGGGGAUAAAAAGAUGUACGAGUACAUAACUGAAGGUACCCCGGGAAUAAGCAUCGGCUAACUCCGUGCCAGCAGCCGCGGUAAUACGGAGGAUGCGAGCGUUAUCCGGAUUUAUUGGGUUUAAAGGGUGCGUAGGCGGAUUAUUAAGUCAGUGGUGAAACCCUGCAGCUUAACUGUAGACUUGCCAAUGAUACUGAUAGUCUUGAGUAUGGUCAAGGCAGGCGGAAUGUGUAAUGUAGCGGUGAAAUGCUUAGAUAUUACACAGAACACCGAUAGCGAAGGCAGCUUGCUGGGCCGUUACUGACGCUGAUGCACGAAAGCGUGGGGAUCGAACAGGAUUAGAUACCCCAGUAGUCC